ACCCUGUAGAUGUAGGCCUUGGAUUUCAGCAGUCUUUCAAUAUAGUCUCUGCCUGCACAUUGCUGUAGCACUGCUUUCAAGAGCAAUAAAUUAAUGAAGAAAACUCAGCAGCUCUAAUGCACUCCAGCAUAUGCACUCAGGGUCAAACUGAGAAGAAUCUUAAAAUCUAAUGGAGUGCUAAGACUGAAAUGGAUGCUCCAGUGCAGUGGGCUAAGGUGUACUCAUUUGAUCCUGAAACUAUUAUUUCAUGAGCAGAGGAUGUGUGACUUUGUUCUGGUGACUGAAAGCUACUGAUAUUGAAGAUACUGCUGCAGGGAAGAAUGCAUUGAAUGUGGCUUCUACAAUCACCACUGAAUACCAUUGCCCAACUGAAUGGGCACACAGGAUAUGCUUCAGAUUUUGGAAAUGUCAAGCAGCUGAUUCAGGAAUUGACUGUUUCUAUCCAGACAGCCAACAACUACUGGUUUAUUUUGGAAGUGACCUCAUGCUUACCUCUAGCUCCAUACUGAUUACUGAGGUUACACCAAUGCUUUCUGGAAGUCUAGAGUCAGCAGACUUGGUUUUCAUGUGAUGUUUACAUACUCUUCUUAUCACCUCAGGACUGGAUUAGGGGCACUUCAGAGAGUCAGGAACGGCUCAACAAGAAGGUUUAAAGUGUCCUAUCAGUAUUUGCUUUGGCAUAUGCAGAAGCGAAAAAUAAAAAUUCUUGGUUGGGGCUCUGUCCUGGUUCAGGGCAAAGCUGGGAGAGAGCCAGUUUGGGUCCAGUUUAAUUUCAGAGCUCUCAUAGUGACAGUAAAUCAUCAUCCACUGAAUGCAAAGAGAUGUUUUUGUCAGCUUUAUACCUCUACUCCCAGACUUUCUGUGCAAAGAGGGUCUUGGCUCUCAAGGACACCUGCAAAAUAUUUCCUAAAGUGAGACAGCUAUCAAGGUGCUAGAAAGGAAGAAACAUUCAGCUGGAAGCAAGUAAUUCUCCAGUAAUGCAAUCUGAAAAGCUGCUGAAUCUGAUCCCUCCACAGCAAGUUGCUGGGUAACACACUGCUCAGUGCAGUCUUCCCUGACUGUAAUGUGGCAAAUAGAAGGACAGUGGUAAGGCAAGAUACACAAACAUCAAGUGUUUCCAAGUUUUGGUGGCUGCAUGUCAUCAAUAGAAGGAUCACAGAUUUCACCAACUCAUGAUGUGAACUUGAAAACCUGCUGAGGUUUGGUUUGGCCAUUCACUGUUUGAAACAGACAUGGGUAAAUACGUUUUCCAAAAGUGGCUUUUAUUUGCCCAAGCAAGAGACAGAUGUUUUGAAUUCUUACCAAUUACAGGCCCAGAGUGUAAAAAAACUCUGGGUCUCUGGUUCUGAUUUUGACAUUUCCAUUCGUAAGAGAAAGACUGAGUUCUCUGAGAAUAUACUAACACAUGGAAACCAAUUAUUUGCUCUCACUUUAGCUCUAUAGACUAUCAAAAAAUAAAAUGACACAACCUACUCUGGCUUCAAGGCAUGUAAAAUAAAACAGUACUGUAUACACAGUUUGAAGAAUAUGUUUCAGGAGAAAGGCAGCACUUUCGUAUUUGACAUUAGUAAAUAAACCUUAUAGUAAGUUUGACCAAGAGAGGUUAUGAUUUUUUCAUUCACAUGGGAUGAUUAUUAUUGUUUUAUGCCACUGUUUCACUAACACUGCACCAUAGAUGAUACUACAAGAUAAUCAGCCAACAAGGAAUAUUUUAACUGCCAUGAAAGAUAAGCACCAUGGCAGUGUAAAUACCAAGGUUUUAAGUGAGCUGCUUGCUUUUACAUUGAAUGUCUGUUUCUGAGUUCCAAGGUCAUCAUCUCACUCUGUGAGCAGAGGACUUUGCAUGCUGGAGGAUGUGGGGGCAAAACUGCAGUUUCUUAGGAUUACUGCUGUAUUUGAGAGGAGGUGUGGGGCAAGUGGGUUGUGGAAAACUGAAAGGAGGUUUUCCUCCAUUCCUGGAAACGUCUCUGCCCCAUCUCUCUCAGAGCAUGGAGAAGCUUAGAGAUCCAGGGUGAGAUCCCACAGACAUUUGUCAAGAACUAGGCAGGCCUGCAUUCAGGAUGCAUCCAUAGCCUACAUCAUCAUCCAUGACCUGCGAUUUGGGACUGGAAGUAGGAUGGAUACCUAGAGAUCCCAGUCACCAAGAAGCAGAGGAAUAUGUGCUUCUAUUAUGACUUCACUCUACCAGGCACAAAACUGGGCUAGAAUAUCUAGACAAAGUACUCUCACCACUGUAGCUCCCUUUGAUGUGCAGAGAAUUAACUGCCCAUGGGUCAGCAACAUUUUUAAGCAGCCUUACCAUGAAGUGCAGCUCUAAUGACAGACCAGGGUCAUCUGCCUCUCCCAGGCUCCCUGUUCACUUGUGCAAGGUCAGGAAAUGAGACAAUGCAGCUGCUGGCAGCUUGAGUGCCUGGGAAGGAAAGAUACGGGGUUUCAAAUUUUAAUGCCCAGCACUGUCAUUUAGAAGGAUCUUGUCAUCCCCCUUGCUUGAAGCCAACCAACUUGCUUUAUUUAGAGAAAAUGUUAUUUUAUUUUUUAAGGAAAAAGUUUUUGCUGACCAAACAACUUUGCUUGCGUUCUGCUAGCUUCACUAACAUUGAUGUGUGGAAAGCAAUCAGCCCUGGAGUUUUAAUAAUAUGUGAACUGCAGCCUCGCUCUGCAAGUGGAUGGGACUGUAAUACUGUCUGCUAAAACUAUUCCUGCCAAAACAAACACCAGGAGAGGAUUCUUUUCCGUAUACCAAAGUCUCACUUUAGCACUUGCCAGGGAACACUUUUCUCUCCUGUUUUCUGCUUGUGAUGGACAAAUAAUGAGGGCACAGUACUACUGGAGGACUGCCUGAAAGCACCCAGAGCCUGGAUCGAAGCCAAGGAGAGGAGUUAGUUCUUCCCUCACAGCAAGAUGGGGAGCAUUCAGGAGCAGCAGUGAGAUAAUGGUCUUCUGGAAAGUACAGCAUUAUCUGAUGGUACGUCUCUUGGAGAGGAAUGGAAGGAGACAAGGGAAAAGAGAAUAUGGGCUUUGUAUGAGUAAUGAUGUUUAAAUGAAAGCUAUAAAUGAAGAGAAUCUUCCUUGUAAGCUUGUACAACUAAGACCCAUGGUGUUUCUAAAUCCUUUUUUUUUGCUUUAUAAUUUUAUGAUAAAAAGCAUUAUCAUUGCUUUUGGACUUAUAUAAUAACUCUUGUAGCUACAAAGAGAACAAAAUGUUGCUUGUUUAUUUCAUUGUGAAACAAAUUAUGCCCCUCUGCAAACUUCACUGUAUAAUUUGCACUGGGUUGAUUGUUUAGGAGUAUGCAGAUGCUGGUUUAAGUACUCCACUCUCCCUGGAUUUCAAAUUGCCAUACAAGUGGCUAUGACUUUAGUGAAACAGUUGUAGCUCAUUGUAUCUCCCAAAAUCAGAAAUAAUUUGUCAUAACAGAGUCCCCCAUCCAAAUUUACAGUCAGUGCUUAUAAUAAACAGAACAUGGUUAUCAGAAUUUAAAGGGAUUGUAUUACAGUAAGAAACUGAGUACCUUUGAAUGUGAUUCAAUAACUUUAUAGAUUUCUCCCCAUUUAUCACUUUUGGUUCAUAGUAGGCAGUUAAUGGUUAAACUGGUACACAGCAGGAGUUCCCUACCAAGAGCACAUUCUUUUGAAAUGUACCCUUGACACUUUCACUUACUUUCUGCGUGUUUGUGUGCUGCUUUUAUAUGUAUUUUCCUAGCUGGAACAUAUAGAUAUUAUUCAGCACAGCCACAGUUGCAACUAGACAUGUCAUAAUUUCUGCUUACAUUUGCAUUGGUCUCAGCCCCGUCCAGUGAAGAAUGCACUGUGUGCCUCCAAAUGAUAGUGUUUAGAAAUCUGACCAAGCGUCUCUACAGGCUCUCAAAGCUAAUGCUAAAAACUUGCAGAGGUAUCAGUUCAUAUCAGGUGAAAACAACAUAGUUUUGCCCUAGUUGAUUAUUAUGUGUGCUAAUGGUGAGUUCUAAGAAGAUCUAGGCAGCUGCUUUCUGUUGAUUAUACCAUACCACCUCAAUUGAACCUAAAUGGGGAAAUCUCAUCUGGACUGAAAUAAUGUCUGUUAAGGAAAACACAAUCAAGAUUUUACACCAAAGAAAAUCGUUCUCAUGGUGGGUAGUUUUCUGCCUCAUUUCAUGGGAGGUUCCAUUGGGAUGAUGGUGUCCUCUUCCAGAUCUUGGUACAGGGUUGGCUCUGGUGCUCUGGGGUUCCCAGCUAACCUGGGGAGAAAGCUUGCAUAGGUGAAAAGACCUUAUCUACCCCUUACACAACUGGACUCCUCACAAAUUAUUCUGGACAAGGCAGUGGAGUUGUUAUGUUUGAUCCUGCACCAGGAUCCAUGGGCUACAGGGACAAAAGGCCUGAGCCUCCAAAGCCUCAAAUGCAUCCUUCAGCUUUGCUUUCUUCCUGCCUUAUUCCUCACUGCUGGUCUACAGAUCCACAUCUCUGGGAUCUCAUCUUCUGUGUCUUCGCAUGGUUUUCUGUGCCUCAGAAAAGCCUAUUCAUGGUGCUAACUAACUGCUGCUAUAGACUUUCUUCCUUGGAGACUUGGCUUGAUUGGAAUGGAUGCUAUGGCUCUCCAGAAGGAGUAUUAAACAGCUGAGAAGUAAUGGCUUGAGUGCUUCUGUAUAUUUGCCUGUGUAUAGGAACAUGAUCAAUGGUCUUUGUAUCUCUUAUUUGAGGAAGUAUUGCAGUGUUAUGGACUCCACCGAUGCUCAGGAGUGCCUCCCCAUUGCCCUCAAACACUAUUGCCACCUCAGGAUCUAGCCCAGCUCUCAAACCUUUUGCAUGUUUCCACCACCAGUGCAUAAAAUACUGCAAACACUGUCAGAAAUGUGAUGGAUGUGUGGGCAAGUCCAGUUUUCAGAGUGUACUGAGUUUUCAGUAUUCGCUACUAACAACUGCAUCACGUGUGGUAAAGGGGGCAGAAAGAAAGAAACAAAACAGUUUCUCAGAUACCAACAGGGUUUCUUGGACACCAAAUAGGGCUUUCUGGUGUUUUGCCUUUGCCCCUGUGUAGUUUAGGUUUGAUGUCAAUGCUGACAUUACUCCAGGAGGGCUUGUUUCCAGUUGUGCCUGUGCUGAUGGAUGAGAUUGAAACAGGUCAGCUCAGCUUUAUCAUGUCCUUCAACAGUGUCUGUAAUGAGGCAGAGAGGAACAUGCUGGGAAUUCAAGGAGCAGAGGUUUUUCUCUUUGCUCUUUGAUGCUUGGUUGGAAAUAUCAGAGGAAGAUAAAAAGCUGUAUAAACAGAAAGCUCUUUUAAGGCAAUUAUACUACACCUUAUUGCUAUUUCUAUCUUCCUAUGCUACAGAUCUGCAGGAGGCACUUACGGCAUUAAAAAUGAAACUCACAGGAGCAAGCGUGGAGGGUAGUGUUUGUAACAUGCUUCAUUUUCUAUGAAAGUAAAUAGCAAGCAAGUAAAACUAUCACUGACAGGAUUAAAGACAUGCUGGUAACAGUGUCUGAGUUGAGCUGCCUGGGAAUAAGGCAUAUAACAUGAAACUUUUUGGGUUUUUUUGGUUAUUUUUGGGUUUUUUUUUAACAAAACUUAUUUCUGAGGAUUCUGCACACUCCUAUACAGUAGCAGACCAGCUCUGAAAACAAAAGUAUGUGGCAUUUGUUCUGCAGGGCUAAAGACAUAUUUUUUUUUUUGUGUGGAUGGGGUUGACAUCACUAUUUGCAUGUUUUUUGUCACUUUUUUGGUAUAAGUAUCCAUCCUCCCUUUGUUAAUUUAUGAGGGGUAACUUUUUUUUGGGGUGUUUUUGGCUUAAAAGAAAAUAGUGUAAGUGUUAUACAUCAAACAAUAUUGGUUUGAUAUAGACUUGAAAUAUUCUUUUAGGGAUCCUGUGAAUCUCCUAUUUUACAGCUUUCUUAUGUACAGGUACUGUUAGAACCAUUGAAAUAAAUUUCAAAGAAAACCA